rnacentral:rRNA from 1 species
AUUGAACGCUAGCGGGAUGCUUUACACAUGCAAGUCGAACGGAGUGGCGGACGGGUGAGUAAUAUAUCGGAACGUGCCCCGUAGCGGGGGAUAACUACUCGAAAGAGUGGCUAAUACCGCAUCCUAUUAGCUGGGCCGAUAUGGGAUUAGGUAGUUGGUGGGGUAAUGGCUAACCAAGGCAACGAUCCGUAGCUGGUUUGAGAGGAAGACCAGCGACACUGGGACUGAGACACGGCCCAGACUCCUACGGGAGGCAGCAUUGGGGAAUAUUGGACAAUGGGGGAAACCCUGAUCCAGCCAUCCCGCGUGUUUGAUGAAGGCCUUCGGGUUGUAAAGCACUUUUGGCAGAGAGGCGGUAUCUGCAGAAUAAGCACCGGCUAACUCCGUGCCAGCAGCCGCGGUAAUUC